UCAUCACUGACACACACAACAAUCUUCAUCAACAUGACCUUCAUCAUCAUCUUCAUCUGGACUCUCACAGCGUUUGCUCAAGAGUGUAGAGGACAGAUCAGCGUCACUCAGAGUCCCUCAACGACAGCAGCUCAACCAGGAGAAACAGUCAACAUCAAAUGUAGAACCAGCACAAAUGUGGUUGAAUAUAGUGCACCACGUUACUAUUUAAGCUGGUACUUACAGAAACCUGGAGAAGCUCCUAAACUCCUGAUUUAUCAAACAUCAGACCGUUACACUGGAACUCCAUCUAGAUUCAGUGGCACGAGUUCAUCUGCGACUGAUUUCACUCUGACCAUCAGUGGAGUCCAGACUGAAGAUACUGGACAUUAUUACUGUCAGAGUUUUCAUUGCAGAACAAAUUCUUAUGGUAGCUGUGUGGGUGAUCGUGUGUUCACACAGUGAUAAAGAGUCGUACAA